UAGUCAAGUAGUUAGGACUCUGCACUUUCAAUGCUGAGAACCCAGGUUCAAUCCCUGG
rfam:TPA: Bos taurus chromosome 8, whole genome shotgun sequence.